UGUGUAGUAAGUAAGUAAGUAAGUAAUCUAAAUAAAGUGUCCUAUAUACAAUGUUUAUUUGGUUGAAUAUGAGUGUUCUUUUCUUCGCAUUCACGCACGCACACACACGUAAAAAAAGUUAAAAGUUUUGGCAUGUGACUGUCUGUUAUCAAACAUAUUAUAUGGAUUCUAUGUAAUGUUCCUAGUGUAUUGUAUAUGUUCUAGUUUGUCUACCCAGUACAGGGUACGGGCAGCAAUGCUUAGAAUCGCAUCUUAUACUUAUUGUUAACGUGUUUCUUUUCUUUUUGUCCACCAUUACAGUUACAGCGUACACCUGAAGACUGAAUUCGUAGUGUCUACAACGCGAAGACGUCUUCUUUAUCGCCAAGAAGUUGAAGGAAGCAGCCACCGCAGCUCUGACCAGACUUUCCACCAACUGAGAGGAUGUAGUUUCGUGACUGGUCGGGGGAAAUCUGGUGACCACAGCUCCGAUCGUGAAGACCAGCACAAGCAAGUUGACUGUACAAUACGAGAAUACAGGGAAGGAAAACCCUGCACAGACACCCAGGGAAGACACCCCUGCACAGAAGUCCUAGGGAGUAAACCCUAGUCAAAAAAUCCAGGGGGGAUGAAACACCCCUGUCAAAAAAGUCACCCGCGCCAAAGUUCGACAAGUCAACCACUACACAAGACACAGACGGACAGUGGUACCGGCAUUUCUAUAGAUGUUUACACGUAAAUGUUAUGUAGAUAAGAUUUAUAUGAUAUUUUGUAUGAUGGUUGAUAUAGACUGUGACAGUUUUUUGAGAACCAACAAAUUAAAUUGAUGUGGCCCUAGAAUGGUACAAAUGAUACUGUUUAAAUGAUACUGUUUGUUCAUAUCAUGUAUUUUGACGUUGGUUUUGUUGACAAGGACAGUAUAUAUGUUGGGCAGGGUAGUAGACAGACUCGGACUGUAUGUUGAAAUGAUUUUGGUCCUAGUCGCUUGCUUCUUGCUGUGGGAAAUUGGCACACAAUUAUUGGCAAACCGACGCUCAUCCUGACAUUACUAUUUACAGUCUCGGUAAUUUU